rnacentral:rRNA from 1 species
GAAUCUUGCGCAAUGGACGAAGGUCUGACGCAGCGACGCCGCGUGCGGGAUGAAGGCCCUCGGGUUGUAAACCGCUUUCAGCAGGGACGAAAUUGACGGUACCUGCAGAAGAAGCCCCGGCCAACUACGUGCCAGCAGCCGCGGUAAUACGUAGGGGGCAAGCGUUGUCCGGAUUUAUUGGGCGUAAAGAGCUCGUAGGUGGUUCGGUAAGUCGGAUGUGAAAUCUCCAGGCUCAACCUGGAGGGGUCAUUCGAUACUGCCGUGACUAGAGUUCGGUAGGGGAGUGUGGAAUUCCUGGUGGAGCGGUGAAAUGCGCAGAUAUCAGGAGGAACACCCGUAGCGAAGGCGGCACUCUGGGCCGAUACUGACACUGAGGAGCGAAAGCGUGGGGAGCGAACAGG